UACAGAGGGUGCGAGCGUUAAUCGGAAUUACUGGGCGUAAAGCGUGCGUAGACGGUUAUUUAAGUCAGGUGUGAAAGCCCCGGGCUCAACCUGGGAAUUGCAUUUGAGACUGAAUAGCUAGGGUGCGGAAGAGGGAAGCGGAAUUUCCGGUGUAGCGGUGAAAUGCGUAGAUAUCAGGAGGAAUACCCAUAGCGAAGGCAGCUCGCUGGGACGUUACUGACGCUGAGGCGCGAAAGCGUGGGGAGCGAACAGG
rnacentral:rRNA from 1 species